UGGGCAACCUGCCCUCAGCUCUGGGAUAACUCCAAGAAAUUGGGGCUAAUACCGGAUAUGACCGCUGACCGCAUGGUCUGGUGGUGGAAAGAUUUAUCGGCUGGGGAUGGGCCCGCGGCCUAUCAGCUUGUUGGGUGGGGUAGUGGCCUACCAAGGCGACGACGGGUAGCCGGCCUGAGAGGGUGACCGGCCACACUGGGACUGAGACACGGCCCAGACUCCUACGGGA
rnacentral:rRNA from 1 species